UUUUUCCCAUCAAGUUUCUGACUGCACAUCCGAAACAAAAAGUCAGAAGAAGGUGAAGAAGUAGAAUAAUAAGAAAAAUAAACAGAAAGUAAAAAAUGUGAGGAAAGAUACAGCUUGAUUAACAGGUAUCAAGGGGGAAAUGCACAAAAGUAUAUGGCUUAAGUAGGUUGGAAGUGAAAAGGCAAAGGAAAACAAUACAUUAAAUUCGAGCCCAUGCCCAUGAAAGAACUAUAUCGAAAGAUUUGAAUCCAGUUAAGAAAUUAUUAGUAGUAACAACCUGCAAAAUCAUAAUUCUAGCACUGCAUGUUGCCACUGAAGAACUAUUAGCAAUUAAGCACCGACAAAAUGAACUUAAAUAGAAUCCAUAAUGUCCUAUUUCAGAAACAAUGGCUGCAGGCCUGUUGAGAAGGACAGAAUCAAGAAUCCCACAAAGGUAAUUUGCUUAAUUAGUGGAAUUGAUGCACUUUAAGGCAACUGAAAUCACACAAACAAGGAAACGAUUUUACAGCACCUAUAUCCUUGACUUUGAGUUAAUAUUUGUUUGUGCAUGCGCAACAGUUAAACAGCCGUAUUUAUUUUAACAUCACCAGUUCAAGAUAAUCUGGUAGACCUAAGCCAUGAAAUCCUACAGACCAAUAUUAUCCUUAAGUGCCUUUGCAGGAUUAAACAAAUUACAAAUGAAAUUCAUCAAGUAACAUUUUUUGGGCAUUCCCUCUCGAUAAAUCCUAUUGAUUCUUGACCCAUAGAUGUCUAUAAAGCCCAACUUCAAGGACCAAUAGACUACAGCAUAAUACAUCACAAAAUUCAAGUAUCUAUCUGGCAUUUGUAAGUUUGUUCCUAGAG
rnacentral:misc_RNA from 1 species